UCUAGCUUUAUUUGUUUUAGGUUAAUAACUUAAUAAGGAUCACAAUAAUACCUUAAAUUUACAAGCUAAACCAUAUUUUUUUUCAUUUUUUUCAUUUUCCUUAAUCAUUAUUAAAUACGUCUCAUUGGCAUCCAAGUAAGUAUUGAGUGACAUUGACACUUCAGUGAGUGAUUUAGUGACGAACAAAUUGGUCACUAUAAGAUAUAUUUUGGAAUUUAAAUAUUAAAUUCAAAUUAUGCGUCAUAAAAUAUACAGAUAGUUUGAAAUUUCUC
rnacentral:lncRNA from 1 species